rnacentral:rRNA from 1 species
AUGGCGCCUGCGCUGGCGACCUUGCAGGUCGCUGCCCCACACCAUCUCAGUCUUCCUCGUCCUCGUGCCCGCGCCUCCCGAUCCGGCGCCUCCUUCCUCGCCCUGGAAGUCGCAAGGAACUCAGGCCGCCGCUGGCCCUCAUCCCCUUCCGCUGACGCCGUUCUGCCCAAGUUGGGAAUCGUCAAGUACCCGAAGACCACAUUGACACCAAGUAUUUGUACCGCCGUUUUCGGAAUCACCAAGACCGCGUGUACCACUACUUCCAUGACGUCCACUACCAUCGUCGUGGGAUUUGACAAGCUCAAUCCACUACCAUCGUCGUGGGAUUUGACAAGCUCAAUAACGACCCCUGAAGACCUUGGAUUCGUCAAGUUCCCCUCUGUCGCCAUGUACCACUACUUCCACUACCGUCGCUGA